AAAUAAAGGAGAAAUGUAUUUGCCCACAUGAUGUUUAGAGGAUGAGGGGCUUUAUAUGUGAUGGUUUCUGUUUUCUUAAUAUAAGAUGAACUGCGGGAUCAAAAUUUUUGUUGCACAUUUUAAAAACCAAUGUCUUCUUCUCUAGGUGUCCCCAAUCCCAGACAUUUUUUUGGCUAGUUCUGACUGAAUAGCCACUUUUUCAAUUUGCUUUUCUUGGCACUUUAACUUCCCCUUCCCCUUUUAGCACGUCUGCCAUCUCUUCCUGCUCUGGGUGCCACUUAGCUCUGAAAACACAGGUAUCGGAGUGUAGCAGACUCACUCAGAGUCCUCCCAAGAUGCAGAUUCUACUGAAAUCCAGACCCAAGGGGUCUACAAAAUGGGUUUCUCCUUCAUGAAACAAAGGGUUCACAGGCCUCCUGAAACCCAUUCAUGGUUAUCUGUUCCAGUGACUCAAGAGCCGCUCUGGGGAAGCCAACUGCCUGCCAGCUUGUGAGUACUCACAUGGAGAGGCCCGUGUGGCAAGGAACUAAGGUCCCUGUCCAACAACUAGAAAGGAACAGAGGCUCUCUGCCAACAGUGAGGUGAGUAAUCCUGGAAACUGAUCUCCCAGCCACAGUCGAGCCUUCAGAUUACUACAACCCUGAAAAACAUCUUGAAUGCAAUCUCAUAAGAAAUAUAAAGCCAGAACUACACACUAAGCCACUCCUAAAUUCCUGACACCAAUUUAUAUUAAUUACUGAUUUAUUAUCUUACAGUUUCUAUAACUGCAAGAUAGUAUAGUUAUAACUGUAAGAUAAUUAAUGUUUGUUGUUUUAAGCUUAGUUUUGGUGGUAAUUUGUUAUAUAAUAGACAACUAAUACAAUGUGUCUGUGUGUAUAUAUAUGUGUGUAUAAACAUACAAAUGUCUGUGUGUAUAUAUAUGUGUGUAUAAAUAUACAUUUUUUAUCUUUCAAGAUUUUUACCCCAUCUACUAGUUUAUAAAUUGUAUAAACUACUGCUACAAUUUUAGUCGUCAUCCAACAAAUUGCAUCACAUAAUAACUAAAAUCAGUAAAUUUAAUAACCAAUGAAUCAAAAAAAAUUGUAACACUUUUUGCUUAUUCUCUUUUUUACUGAUGUUUUUAUUGAAUCAUAAUUCUUUCAAUACAUUUUAAAUCCAACAGAUUACAAAUUAUUACUACUAUCUUAUUAAAUCCAUAUUUGGUUAGAUUUAAUGACCUACCUAUUCACUAAUUUUUUGCUAGUAUCUAUUUCUUUCAUUUCAGAUCUUCUAUCUGGGUUCAGUUUACUCAUUCCAUAUCAAAACCUUUAGAAAUGCCUUCCUAUAUGGUCUGUUGGUAUAAUGCUCUCUGUUUGGCUUAUCUGAAAAUACUUUUAUUUGAUGGCUGAUUUAAUUUUUCAAUUGUAAUAUAUCAUACCCACAUAAAACUGCAGAUAGCAGAGAUGCUUAGUUUGAAAACAAAUUUAAGCAGUGAGUAUACCAACGGAUGGCAACCUAAAUCAAGAAAUUAGGGCAUUAUAGCCUUCUACAGGCUUCCUUCCUGAUCCUUCAUCUAAACUAGCCCUGCAAAGUUAAUAACUAUCCUACAUUCUAAAACUGUAGAUUAACUUUGCCUUUUUGUAAACUUAAUACACCAUAACUCUACAGUAUGUGAUAAUUUAUAUCUGACUUCUGUUCCUCCAAGAUGUGUUUGUGAGACUCAUCAUGUUGCUACAUUUUAAUGUAGUUUGUUUAUUUCGUCAUUGUAGAAUAUGUUACUGUUUUUGUUCAUUCCACCGUCCAUACACAUUUGAGUUAAUUUCAGCAUUUGUCUAUUAAAAGAAUACUUCUGUGAACUUUGUUGUAUAUUUCUUUUGGCAUGCACACAUAUAUAUAUAUAUAUCUGUUUCUUUGUAAUCAAAUAGAAGUGGUGGGUCAUAGAUGUUCAUAACAGAUACUGCUAAUACAUUUCCAAAGUUCUUGUAGCAAUUCUACUUCUAGUUUCUCGAUAUUCUUGGACUUGGAAUUGUCUACCUUUUGUAUCUGAGCCAUUCUGGAGACUGUGUAGUCACUUUGUUGUUUUAAUUGGCAUUUCUUUGGCGAAUGAAAUUAAACUCGUCUUAUAUCUUCAUUGGCUGUUUGGGCAUCCUGUUUUGGGGAAUGUUUAUUCAAUACUUUUGCCCCUUUUUCUUUUAAGUUGUUUACACUUUCAUAUUAACACGUAAAAGUCUUAAAUAUUCUAGAUGUGAGUCCUCUAUUGUACAAAUAUCUUCUCUCACUCUAUGGCUUACCUUUUCACACUCUUAACAAUGUCUUUGCUGAGAAAAAUUUCCUUGUUUUAAUAUACUGUAAGGAAUCAAUUGUAUUUUUUAUGGUCUGUGAUUGUAUGCAUUAUUAAAGAAAACUUUGCCUACUGCAAGUUCAUGGGGAUAGCUCUUUUUCUUUUUCUAAAAUCUUUAUUAUUUUAUCUUUAAUCUUUAGAGCUAUGACCUAUAUGGAAUUAUAUUUACAUAGUGUUAGGUAGGGAUAAAGUGAUUUUCUUUUUUAUAUGGAUAUCCAUUUGAUCUAAAAACUUUUAUUGAAAAUUUUUAUUGUGCUUCUUUGAGCAUGGUUUAAUUAUUCACUUAUUUUGAUCUUUUACAAUUUCUCUUACUAAUGUUUUUA
ensembl:lncRNA